rnacentral:lncRNA from 1 species
CUGAGCUGGGAUUUCAUACAGCACAGGAAUCCCUCUGUAUUGAGAGGUCCUGUCUAAAUGUGUCUCUGAGCUGGGAUUUCAUACAGCAGGAAUCCCUCUGUAUUGAGAGGUCCUGUCUAAAUGUGUCUCUGAGCUGGGAUUUCAUACAGCAGGAAUCCCUCUGUAUUGAGAGGUCCUGUCUAAAUGUGACUCUGAGCUGGGAUUUCAUACAGCAGGAAUCACUCUGUAUUGAGAGGUCCUAGGAGCUGUUGAGGAGGAAAACAUUAUGGAUCUAUACUCUACUUCUACUCUUCAUUGAAUAAAUAUUUGUUUCUUUCCUGGAAACUGAACAUAGCCUCUGUAGAGAACAGUCAGUCAGGGACAGAGUAAACAGCCAGCCAGUCAGGGACAGAGUAAACAGUCAGUCAGGGACAGAGUAAACAGCCAGCCCAGUCAGUCAGUCAGGGACAGAGUAAACAGCCAGCCAAGUCAGCCAGUCAGU